AGUAACACGUGGGUAACCUGCCCAUAAGACUGGGAUAACUCCAGGAAACCGGGGCUAAUACCGGAUAAUAUUUUGAACUGCAUGGUUCGAAAUUGAAAGGCGGCUUCGGCUGUCACUUAUGGAUGGACCCGCGUCGCAUUAGCUAGUUGGUGAGGUAACGGCUCACCAAGGCAACGAUGCGUAGCCGACCUGAGAGGGUGAUCGGCCACACUGGGACUGAGACACGGCCCAG
rnacentral:rRNA from 1 species